rnacentral:rRNA from 1 species
UACGUAGGUGGCAAGCGUUGUCCGGAAUUAUUGGGCGUAAAGAGCUCGUAGGUGGCUUGUCGCGUCUGCCGUGAAAGCCCAUGGCUUAACUGUGGGUCUGCGGUGGAUACGGGCAGGCUGGAGGCUGGUAGGGGCAAGCGGAAUUCCUGGUGUAGCGGUGAAAUGCGCAGAUAUCAGGAGGAACACCGGUGGCGAAGGCGGCUUGCUGGGCCAGUUCUGACGCUGAGGAGCGAAAGCGUGGGGAGCAAACAGG